UACGUAGGGUGCAGGCGUUAAUCGGAAUUACUGGGCGUAAAGCGUGCGCAGGCGGUUUGCUAAGACAGGUGUGAAAUCCCCGGGCUUAACCUGGGAACUGCGCUUGUAACUAGCAGGCUAGAGUGUGGCAGAGGGGGGUGGAAUUCCAGGUGUAGCAGUGAAAUGCGUAGAUAUGUGGAGGAACACCGAUGGCGAAGGCAGCCCCCUGGGUCAAGAUUGACGCUCAUGCACGAAAGCGUGGGGAGCAAACAGG
rnacentral:rRNA from 1 species